rnacentral:lncRNA from 1 species
AAUUUUAUUGGAGUAUAGUUGACUUAUGAUGGUAUAUUGGUUUCAAGUGUACAGCAUAGUUACUCAGUCAUACAUAUAAAUAUAACCAUUCUUUUUUCCCAUAUAGGUUAUUACAGACUGUUGAGAUUUUCCUGUGCUAUACAAUAGGUUCUCAUUAAUCAUCUAUUUUAUACAGUAGUGUGUGGAUGUGUGUGUGUGGGUUAUUCCCACCCACCCAAUUCUUCCCUCCUCCCCAAUGGUUUCACCUAUGAUAGCUAUAAGACUGGUUUUCAAAUCUGCAAGUUUGCUUCUGUUUUAUAAGUUCUUUUGUAUCUUUUUUAGAUUCCACAUAUAAAUAUAUCAGAUGAUAUUUGUCUUUCUCUGAUAUACUUCACUCAGUAUGAUAAUCUCUGGGUACAUCCAUAUUGCAACCAAUGGCAUUAUUUCAUUCUUUUUUUUAUGGUUGAGUAAUAGACUAUUGUAUAUAUGUAUGUACCACAUCUUCUUUAUCCAUUCAUCUGUCGAUGGAUUUUUAGGUUGUUUGCAUGUCUUGGCUGUUGUGAACAGUGCUACUAUGAAGAUAGGAGUGCAUGUAUCUUUUUGAAUUACGGUUUUCUCUGGCUGGAAUCCCAGGAGUGGGAUUACUGGGUCGUGUGGUAGUUCUGUAUUUAUUUUUUUAAGGAACUUCCACACUGUCCUCCAUAUGUAAAAAGGUAUUCUUAAAAGAAACAGAAAGAGCAAGAAAUGGAAAGGAAGAGAAGAUUACCUUUGUUUGCAGGUGUUAAGAUUGUUACAAAAUAAAAUAUAAUCUAUAUAUUAUAUGAUACUUAGUAAAAGAAUUCAAUAUGAUAUUGGAUGCAAAAAGUCAAUGGCCUCGCACAAGUAGCAAGUUAGAAAACUUCCAUCCAAAACAGGAUCUCAAGCAAGCAGCCAUAAACAUGGUAAGAUUCAUAAAGGGGAGAAAUAUAAGAAAAUAUGCAUACAAUGUUCUAGGAGAAAAAUUACGCUAUCCUGUCAGCAAACAGAAAAUUCCUAUAAACCAUGUUUAUUGGUGGAAAGACUCAGUAGCUUAAAGAUGUCAAUUGUGCCCAAUAAAGUUUAAUCAAAAUCAAAUAGGCUUUUUCAUAGAAUUAGACAAGUUGAUCCUAAAAUUCAUAAGAAAAUACAAAAGGGCAACAUAGUUAAGAUUGAAGAAAAUAGUUGGGAAGAUUUACCCUAUCAGAUAUCAGACUUAUAAAAUUAUAAUCAUUAAGACAGUGUGCUAGGAGCUCAAAGAAAGCAAGCCAGAUGGACAGAAUAAAGAGAUGAAGUGCCGACAGAUCUAGCACGUGAUAGGAGGCCUGGCUUUUCCAACCAAUGGGAGAAGAUGGACGACUCAGUAGAAGUUAGACAAUUAGUUGUUUAAAUGGUAGCUUAUACCAUUCAUGAAAGUCAACUUCUGAUGGAUUAGAAACCUACGCAUGAAAAACAAAACUGUAAAACUUUCAGAAAAAAAUAUAGCAUCAUGUCCUUAGGACUCAGAGAUAAACAAGACACAUGAAAUACAUCCACUAUAAAGGAAAAUACUAAUAGAUUUUACAUUAAAAUGAAAUGAAUUUGUUCAAAUAAAGACAAAAUGCAGUGAAAGAAUAAGCUAUACACUGGAAAAAUGUAUUUGCAACAUGAAUAAAUCAACAAGGAUUCAGUAAACAAAACAUGCAAAGAGUUUCUAAAUAUCAGUAAGUGGAGCUCCCACUGUGGCACGGUGGGUUAAGGAUCCAGCAUUGCUGCAGCUAAAACAUAGGUCAUAGCUGCAGCUCGGAUUUAAUCCCUGGCCCAGGAACUUCCAUACACCACAGGUACAGCCAAAAAAAAAAUUUUUUGUUUUUUGUCUCUUUGGCUGCACCCGUGGCUUAUGGAGGUUGCCAGGCCAGGGGUCUAAUCAGAGUUGUUGCUGCCAGCCUACGCCAGAACCAUAGCAACGCCAGAUCCGAGCCGCAUCUGCAACCUACACCACAGCUCACGGCAACACCGGAUUCUAACCCACUGAGUGAGGCUAAGGAUCAAACCCACAAUCUCAUGGUUCCUAGUCGGAUUCAUU